rnacentral:rRNA from 1 species
CCCUUAGAUGUUCUGGGCCGCACGCGCGUUACACUGAUGCAUUCAACGAGUCCUUCCUUGGCCGAGAGGCCUGGGCAAUCUUUUGAACGUGCAUCGUGAUAGGGAUAGAUUAUUGCAAUUAUUAAUCUUAAACGAGGAAUUCCUAGUAAACGCAGUUCAUCAAACUGCAUUGAUUACGUCCCUGCCCUUUGUACACACCGCCCGUCGCACCUACCGAUUGAAUGGUCCGGUGAAGCCUCGGGAUUGUGGCUGGUCUCCUUUAUUGGGGGUCGGUCGCGAGAACUUGUCUAAACCUUAUCAUUUAGAGGAAGGUGAAGUCGUAACA